rnacentral:rRNA from 1 species
UACGAACUGUGCGAACGUUAUUCGGAAUCACUGGGCUUACAGGGUGCGUAGGCGGCUUGUUAAGUAGGGUGUGAAAGCCCCCGGCUCAACCGGGGAAUGGCGCCCUAAACUGGCGAGCUGGAGUGAGACAGGGGUGUGUGGAACUUCCGGUGGAGCGGUGAAAUGUGUUGAUAUCGGAAGGAACGCCGGUGGCGAAAGCGACACACUGGGUCUUGUCUGACGCUGAGGCACGAAAGCCAGGGGAGCGAACGGG